rnacentral:rRNA from 1 species
GAGUUUGAUCUUGGCUCAGGAUGAACGCUAGCGGCAGGCUUAACACAUGCAAGUCGAGGGGCAGCAGGUCUUCGGACGCUGGCGACCGGCAAACGGGUGCGGAACACGUACGCAAUCUACCUCUGUCUGGGGCAUAGCCCAGUGAAAACUGGAUUAACUCCCCAUAGUAUUAAUGAAGGGCAUCCUUCGCUAAUUAAAAAUUUAUUGGACAGAGAUGAGCGUGCGUCCCAUUAGCUAGUUGGUAGGGUAACGGCCUACCAAGGCGACGAUGGGUAGCUGGUGUGAGAGCACGACCAGCCACACGGGCACUGAGACACGGGCCCGACUCCUACGGGAGGCAGCAGUGAGGAAUAUUGGUCAAUGGACGCAAGUCUGAACCAGCCAUGCCGCGUGAAGGAUGAAGGCGUUCUGCGUUGUAAACUUCUUUUAUCUGGGAAGAAAAGUACGGUUUCUACUGUAUCCGACGGUACCAGAGGAAUAAGCACCGGCUAACUCCGUGCCAGCAGCCGCCGCCGUAAC